GCCCCCGGCGAUGUCGUACGCCGUGCUGUCGCACGAGUUUAAGACUCGUGGCAGAUAGCUCAGUAACACGUGGCCAAACUACCCUGUCGAUCGGGACACCCUCGGGAAACUGAGGCUAAUCCCGGAUACGGCUCGCUGCCUGGAGUUGGCGCGAGCUCGAAACGUUCAGGCGCGACAGGAUGUGGCUGCGGCCGAUUAGGUAGACGGUGGGGUAACGGCCCACCGUGCCGAUAAUCGGUACGGGUUGUGAAAGCAAGAGCCCGGAGACGGAAUCUGAGACAAGAUUCCGGGCCCUACGGGGCGCAGCAGGCGCGAAACCUUUACACUGCACGCGAGUGCGAUAGGGGGACUCCAAGUGCGAGGGCAUACAGUCCUCGCUUUUCACCACCGUAAGGAGGUGGUAGAAUAAGUGCUGGGCAAGACCGGUGCCAGCCGCCGCGGUAAUACCGGCAGCACGAGUGAUGACCGCUAUUAUUGGGCCUAAAGCGUCCGUAGCC
rnacentral:rRNA from 1 species